rnacentral:lncRNA from 1 species
UUGCUCUGUACAACUACCCUGAGAGAUUUCUUUUUUGCCCAUUCUAGAUGGUCAUAUCUUCUGGACUGUUUCGGGUGAUCGGGAGCUAUCUGCAUCCUGAAAUGGAUAACCAGCACCUUCAAUUGAUCAAGUCCAGGUCCCAUUCAUUCAGCUGUUGGUCAGUCUUCCUGCAUAAAAUAAUGUUGAUGAUAACCUUCAUAAUGACCAAGAAUUUCUAUCAAUUCCUAUUGGAAUGUCUUUCACCAAAAUAUGAGAGAAAUAGAGAAAAUGGGGUCCAGGGAAUUGAGGAUUGAACAUAAGAGAAAGGAAGAUGUAAUUAUCAGGAUGGUGUUGAAGAGAAUUCCCAAGACAGCAGCAGCAGCCCUAUGGGGCAAGCAGACAAGAGUGGAACAGGAAGAUUUAUGUUUUCAGUAGGAUGCCUUAAAGAGAAAAUAAAGUAAAG